rnacentral:rRNA from 1 species
UUUCGAAUCAUUCACAAUGGGCGAAAGCCUGAUGGUGCGACGCCGCGUGGGGGAUGAAGGUCUUCGGAUUGUAAACCCCUGUCACCGGGGAAGAAACGUCAUACGUUAAUAGCGUAUGGCCUGACUUAACCCGGAGAGGAAGCAGUGGCUAACUCUGUGCCAGCAGCCGCGGUAAUACAGAGACUGCAAGCGUUAUUCGGAUUCACUGGGCGUAAAGGGUGCGCAGGAGGCCAUGUGUGUUAGGCGUGAAAGCCCGGGGCUUAACCCCGGAAUUGCACCUAAAACUACAUGGCUAGAGUACUGGAGAGGGUAGCGGAAUUCACGGUGUAGCAGUGAAAUGCGUAGAUAUCGUGAGGAACACCAAUGGCGAAGGCAGCUACCUGGACAGUUACUGACUCUCAGGCACGAAAGCGUGGGUAGCAAAAGGG